GGGAGUCCGGAGACGUCGGCGGGGGCCUCGGGAA
rnacentral:sRNA from 1 species